GCCAGCAGUCAUAUCACCCUGUAACUCACAACUGGCAACCCACAGAAGCUAAUCAGGUGUGAGCCUGGUCAGUACCUGGAUGGGAGACCUCCUGGGAACUUAAGGUUGCUGCUGGAA
rnacentral:rRNA from 1 species